CUGACUUUUUAUCUCCAUUAGCAAAAUCUUAUGUAUGGUAACCAGCUCAGAGCUCCCAGAAUUUGGUGUGCACGUUCAUAGCAAGUACCUGGAGCAAGUGUCGUUUUGCUUGCUUUUGCUCUUCUGUUCACUACAGCUGUGGUCUUCAGAGUGAGGUAAAACUGUCCACUGAGGGGAAGAGAGAAAAUGUUUGGACUUCAGUAGUAUGUGUGUGUCAUUUAUAAAUUAGUAAAUAUAUGUAUACUGGUUGUGCAUGCUGAAAAUUUUUUCAUUAAUAGGAAUGUAUGAUCACAAAAAGUUAAAAGAUUGGAGACCCCUACAUUAAAGUACAUGUGGCUGAGCCAUUUUGUAGAACUCUCCAUGAACUGUUGAGACGAAGAGGAGGAAGACAGAGACAGUGCAUUAAAUCAGCAGUGUUUGAUUCCUUUCGUCAUUCUGCUUUAAUUUUAGGCACCAUCAGCAGUGUUUUCAAUUAGCAGCUCACUGAGUUGGUACACCUACAGUUAGAUACUGAAAUAGGUGGGCUGCAUUUUGUAAGCAACUUAAUGCCCACAUCAGCAGCCAAAGUCAACAAAGCUGCAAGUGUUCUUAUCCUAAUAAAUUUAGCUCAGUAAGAGAACUUUUUAGAUUCCUAAAACAGAUUGUAACUGACUUGGGAAAGCUAAGAGGACCCCUAAGAGCCAAUACCAGCAAGUUCUGUUUUUUUCCAUCCUCCUUUGCUGAUGGCCAAAGCCUCUGCUACGAUAGUUUUGAUAUAAGAAUUAUGACAAAAUUAUACAAUAUUUCCAUAUUUUAUUUAGAUCAUUCGUUAACUAAAAUUAUCUUCUGUUGGUAAGAUGUACAGAAUUUACACUCAGUUUCAUCUUGUUGAUGCGAUGGAAACCAAACGUAUUUCUAAUUCAUUUCCCUGUUCAUUGCAGUUGGACUAGAUGACUUUUAAAGGUUUCCUCCAACUCUAAGGGUUCUGUGAUUCUUUGAUAUUAAAGCCUUCCUUCCAAAGAAAGUACUGAGCACAUGUGCCAAUAUAGAGAAUUAGUAUACCAGUGUGAGUGAGUAUUGCUUUUCUGUAACAGCAAAAGGAUUUUUUCCUGUCGUAAUGGAAUCAGAGAGGGCCAACGUUGGGAAGACCUGUAGUCCAAGUUCAGCUGAAGCACAGUACAAUAAUCAGAUCUCCAGCUGAUGUUAAGUUGCACAGUAAAAUCUUCUAAUUGAGGAAUCCAUGAGAACUUGCUACAGGCUCUAUUGUCAUUUACUGUUAAGCUGGUUUUUAGAACUUGGCAUCUGCCUUUUACAGCUGCUAAUGUGCACAGCUGUUGUUACAGCUGCUAAAUCUACAGUUGGAGGAUGGAGGCAUAAGAAUUCUCAUAGUCAUGUAGCUUUAAGCAAACCUUCAAAGCAAGCAAGUUUUACUUGGUCAACACCCAGAAAUGUUUCAAAAUACACAGCACUGUGAUUUUUGUUCUUUCAUAUUGAUAUAAUUAAACCACAGUAAUACUUAACAUAUUGGCAAAUAAAAGUUAGAGUUUAAUUGCUGUGUUGAUGUUUAGGCAAUCUGCUGGUUUCACGGACUUGUUUUAUGCUAAAAGGGAGAUGAGUGUGUGUUGAUUGGGGUUGUAGAAUCCUGUCAUUUUGCAUGAUACCAUUACGUGGGUUAUGUGGGUACCACGGAUUGGUGUUGCUUUACUAAUUGUAUGGGUAGUAGCUGUGCUUUCUCUUGGCUUUCAGUAAUAAAAGAUUUUUAGAGAAAUAGUCAUUAAUAUUUUUUUCUGCAUGUCUUCUUAGUGAAUAUAGUGAGCCUUGAUCCUAAAUGAUGUUGCAGUCCUUACCUCACUGAAAGCCUAAGCACUUUGACAUUUUUGUACUGUUAACUUCAGUCAAAAGGAAGUUUGGUUCUAUACUACUCUUUUCGAAUCUUUGAACUUGCAGAUACCCUGAAGUAUUUGUACUGAAUUCUCACUUCUUGCAUAGUUGCAAGGCCAUACUAAAGUGAUUUGGAGAUGAUAUUUAAGACAUGCUUGGAGCCACCUGUGCCCAACAGCUGAAAAAGACUGCUAGAGCAUACUUCAAAGAAAACCAAGUGGAAUUUUUGGGAGGGAAUGCUAUGAAUCUGUAAUAGCAGAUGCAGGUGGCUGAGUCAAAAUGUAAAUAUAAUUAGAUUAAUUAGGCAUGUCUUCAAAUGCAUGCCUUCAUGGGGUCAGAGGAGAGAGAUGAGUAGGCAGAAUAAAACUGUGCCCCAAUACAUUUGCUGGCAUUGGUUUGCACUAUUCAGAUCUUUUAUCCUUUUCUAUUCCUUUUCACCCCUUUUGCCUUGUAGUUGUAUGAGGCAUGAUGGUUAGUUUAGGUUGUCAUAUUUCCAAAAGUAGAGACCACUACUGAGACAGAUCAAGAAAUUUCUCAGGUAAAGCUCCGAAGAGAUGAUCAAGAGAGAAUUUUGCUUUGAUAAAUCUUGCUCACUUUUUAUGUGCAGUGCUGUGUUGCCUUUGUACAUAAGAAUUCCCAAUGUUAUGUUCAGUCAUCACACAUUAAAAUGUUAAUAUUGAAGGAAGUGUGUAUAUGUUGCAGGCUUGCUGAGUUGAGCCUUAUUCACAGGAGGUGUUUGUUUAAUGACUCAUGUAUUUGUGGAGCUUAAGAAAAUACUUCUAUUCUCGUGUUCCUAACAAAGCCUUAGCGUAGAAAUGAACCCCAACAUUUGCAAUAGAUCACGUGAUUGAAGCCAGUAAAUCAGCACCAGGAGCUUAUUUUCCUUAUUGGCCUACUAAAAAAUAGGAGUAAAGGAGAGGAAAGAAAUACACUUAUUGGGAGACUACACUUCAGUGGGAAAAAUGUGAAAUUUGACAUAAUGCUGAAUAUGAAAUUGGUAUGUAAAUUAGUCUGAAUGAUUACUGCUUUCUCAUUUAGUUAAAACAAAAAGAAUUUCUGCUAUGGAUGAACGUAUGUCAGUGUUCACCAGGUUUGUUAUUUUGGCCAUACUCUAUGCUUGUAAUAAAAAAAACUCAGAAGAACAAUUCCUCAUGGUAUAACACUGUGACAAAUGCAUAAUUUACACAGAGAUAGAGUUUGCAAUGUUAAGGAAAACAUCAGCUUCGUGCAAUUGUUGGAGUGCAAACCUUGUUGAGCUGUUUACCCCAACCUUCCCAAGGAAUUCAGAGAAUGACAGUGCUUAUCUGAAAGUGUGUGGGAGACGGUUUUACUCCUGUGACAUUUGGUUCUACUGCUCUUUGAAAAGAGAAAAACAGUGUAUGUAAAACAGCUUGGCUGAAGGUAAUGACGAUUGGUGGUACUCUGAUUUGGUCCUACUGAAUACCAUGAGAAGAAGAACGUACACGCGUAUGUAUGUGUAUGCAUAGGUAGGUGUGCAUACUUGCUCAUCAUUGGUUGUAGAAGUAAAGGCCACUUCUUAAGUUUUCAUUUGGAACCCGAGAUGUGCGAACAUGAUGCUGAAUGGUUAGCAGAAUCAUGCAUGGUGCCGAUUAUGAACUAUUUAGGAAUGUGUUUAUUAAAAUUUUCUGCGAGCCUUGAGUAAGAAGAUACUUGCUACUUUGUCAUGAAGUCCCUAGGUCAUGGGAUAGCAAAUCGUCAUGUUUAUUGCUGCGGAGAGGGAGCUCAUGCCUGCUGAUCUACUUGCUGGCUGGCCAUCACAGGGGCUGUGCGAAAGGCUGGACAAAGUGUGGCUGAAAUUGUUGAGGGUAAUUUAUUCCAACCAUUCAUUCCAUCUUCAUUCCAAAAUUCCAAAAUAAGCUGAUUUAUGAUGUUUUAAUAAUGUACUGCAUCUCACUCCAGUCUGCUUUCAUAAAGAAGUGAGGGGCAAUUACACUUCUGUCUGCAUGCGGUUCGUUUAACUUUAUUUUUGGAGAGUGGAAAAUGUGAGAUUACAUAGCUAUGGUGUCACAAAGUGGUGCUGCUGUAGCUUUCUGCACCUGUAGGCAACGAAUACAGAACCGAUCUGUGGGAACUGUGAAAGGUGGGGAAGACGUGGAGAAAGCAGAAAUACUACAUUUUUGUAGUGUGUAGUACGUGUUUCAUCUGGCCAGGGACAGGAGCACUGCAUAUGCUUGUGUGUGCUAAUUUUCCUCAUUGCUUUCCUUGAAAUUUCUUUGGUCACUGCUUUUGCAGUGAGCUCUGUUCUGCAAUAUAUUUCAUAAUGCUGUGUGUCAGACAUGCUGUAUGAAUGCAGUGGGAAGUAUUUAAGUUUAUUCUUGCUUUGGCUGUCCUUUUUUUACGUUUGAUUUGUGAACCACUUUCUUGUAUUUAAUGGCUAAAAGUAUGAAAACUGUAGUGUGCCACUGUAAGUGGCUGUAACUGGUUGAUCCCCAGCACUAGAAGCUUCAGAGAGCAAAGGGUUGAUUUACCUUUCUUCUCACAAGGUGUUAUUGCCCUGAAAAAAUCACAUCUGCAGUAUAUGCAAUAGCUGCAUGUUAAAUUCCAUCUCGCAAUUCAUGCUACACUUGAAUUAGCCUCUCAAUUAAAAUGCAACCUGGAAUUAUAGCAAUACCUGUGCUGGAAUGUGACAUUGCAAGAAACCUCAGUUUCUCAAUAUUGUUCCAAUUUGGGCUGACCAUAAUUUUGCAUUGGUGCUAAAAUGCAAAUCCAGGUAAUUGGGUCGGACGGAUAGCAUAGCAUUCUUAAACAGAACAGAAGGUCAAGUUGCAAUAUGUGUAGCUUGCCACCUGUUGUUGAGUAUUUUGUUAUCACCAUUCAGAAUAGCCCGUGUCAUUCUGGAGACCCCGUUGUGGUAGGGCAGGUGGUGACACCAACUCCCACUGUGGUAUUUUCAGCCUUGUUCAGUGUGUGAUGUUUUUACUGUAGUGCCAGGACUUAGGGUUUACUUCUUUAUAUAAGAAUUUUCACUUUUUUUUUUUUUUUUUUUUUUUUUUUUUAAAU